rnacentral:rRNA from 1 species
UCCAUCGGUUGGUGGUGAGAGUGGCGAUCCCGUAAUGACCGACCUGCCCCAUGCACCGGAAUAGCUCCUGGAAACGGGUGGUAAUGCCGGAUGCUCCAUCACACCGCAUGGUGUGUUGGGAAAGCCUUUGCGGCAUGGGAUGGGGUCGCGUCCUAUCAGCUUGAUGGCGGGGUAACGGCCCACCAUGGCUUCGACGGGUAGCCGGCCUGAGAGGGCGACCGGCCACAUUGGGACUGAGAUACGGCCCAGACUCCUACGGGAGGCAGCAGUGGGGAAUAUUGCACAAUGGGCGCAAGCCUGAUGCAGCGACGCCGCGUGAGGGAUGGAGGCCUUCGGACUCUGGGAUCGCUGAUAGUUGUAGGCUUGAGUGCGGUAGGGGAGACUGGAAUUCCCGGUGUAACGGUGGAAUGUGUAGAUAUCGGGAAGAACACCAAUGGCGAAGGCAGGUCUCUGGGCCGUUACUGACGCUGAGGAGCGAAAGCGUGGGGAGCGAACAGGAUUAGAUACCCUGGUAGUCCACGCCGUAAACGGUGGAUGCUGGAUGUGGGGCCCGUUCCACGGGUUCCGUGUCGGAGCUAACGCGUUAAGCAUCCCGCCUGGGGAGUAAUACCGCUCGAGAACUCAAAGAAAUUGACGGGGGCCCGCACAAGCGGCGGAGCAUGCGGAUUAAUUCGAUGCAACGCGAAGAACCUUACCUGGGCCCAGCCUGAGGUGGGGAUGACGUCAGAUCAUCAUGCCCCUUACGUCCAGGGCUUCACGCAUGCUACAAUGGCCGGUACAACGGGUUGCGACAGUGCGAGCUGGAGCGGAUCCCUGAAAACCGGUCUCAGUUCGGAUCGCAGUCUGCAACUCGACUGCGUGAAGGCGGAGUCGCUAGUAAUCGCGAAUCAGCAACGUCGCGGUGAAUGCGUUCCCGGGCCUUGUACA